CUGGCAAAAAGGUAAACAUGUUCAACUUUCUUUUAAUUCAAGUGAGCUGUAAGAAGGCGUUUGAGCGUUCAAUUCAAGCGACUUGUCUAAUUCACUCGCCUUGUCUUAAAUUAGCACUGACAUCUAAAAUGCAUUACAAACGUUACAACCAUUGAACGGUUUAGUGCAAUUUUAUAUCAAAGAAAUCAUGGUCAAAAACUUCCACAAAUAAAUACCUACACUCAAAUUAAACGGCUGAUAAAUUAUAUGUGCAGAAACCACAUAGAUUACGGGAGCAAUUCCAAAUUCCAAUUCUAAGUGCAGCUAAUAAAAUUUAUGUACAAAUAAUAAUAAUUAUUAGAGGCUCAAAUAUAGUACAUUAUGCGUAAUAUGAGUUUGUAGUGCACAACAUAAACAAGAUAUUACUCAUUGGCAGUUGAAAAUCAACUCGAAUAACGAAAAUGUUUCUCUGCAACUGAUUUACGAAAACUUAAGAAAUGGAAAUAUUCAAGGAAAAACUCUUCAAAUACUGAUUAAGAUAACUGAGUUUACCUGCGCAGUUAUUCAACGAUUUUAAGUAUUUCAGACCUUAACUGUAAAUCGCAAAUCGGUUCGGAACAGUAACAACAUACGAGUUGGUGGGAGACUCAUAGUCUUCCAGUUUGAGCUGCAGAUUGCAUUGUAUAAUGAACUGGACAAGCAAAUCACAACUAGCCGGAAAAUGAUUCGUCUUUAUAACCUCUACCAUGUCCGGGUCAGGUCAACGAAAGGUCUACUGAUCACUGGGAAGAACAAAACCCGCUGAUGCAGCAAGAAAAAGGGCUCAAGGUAACACCCAUCCACAGCAAGUUGAAGAAUGCAGUAUCUCCGUGUGCUUCGGAACUAUUUCCUGCACUCAUCUAGAAUAUGUAUUGAUAUUUUGGCUAUAGCUUUAUACGUUUUAUCUACCAUAAGAACAAAGAAAUCGAUUAUUUAAUAAAAGUAAAGAAACCAUGAAAAUGAAAAGUAUUUUAAACCCAAGACAGUGAUUCAA